rnacentral:rRNA from 1 species
UACGGAGGGGGCUAGCGUUGUUCGGAAUUACUGGGCGUAAAGCGCACGUAGGCGGCUUUGUAAGUUAGAGGUGAAAGCCCGGAGCUCAACUCCGGAACUGCCUUUAAGACUGCAUCGCUUGAGCGUCGGAGAGGUAAGUGGAAUUCCGAGUGUAGAGGUGAAAUUCGUAGAUAUUCGGAAGAACACCAGUGGCGAAGGCGACUUACUGGACGACUGCUGACGCUGAGGCGCGAAAGCGUGGGGAGCAAACAGG